rnacentral:rRNA from 1 species
UAUCUCUGUAGAGUCUGCAUAUCAAUAAGCGGAGGAAAAGAAACUAACUAGGAUUCCCUUAGUAACGGCGAGUGAAGCGGGAAGAGCUCAAAUUUGAAAUCUUCAAGGUUCUACCUUGACGAAUUGUAGUUUAAAGAAGUGUUCUCUGUUGGAGUUUUGGUAAAAGUUCUUUGGAAUAGGACAUCAUAGAGGGUGAGAAUCCCAUAUUUGGUUAUUCAUUCUAGCUUUGUGAUACACUUUCAAAGAGUCGGAUUGUUUGGGAAUGCAGUCCAAAAUGGGUGGUAAAUUUCAUCUAAAGCUAAAUAUUGGCGAGAGACCGAUAGCGGACAAGUACCGUGAGGGAAAGAUGAAAAGAACUUUGAAAAGAGAGUUAAACAGUACGUGAAAUUGUCAAAAGGGAAGCGUUUGACACCAGUGUUGUUUUUCCGAAAAUCAAUUACGAAUGUUUUGUUUUUAAGAAGUUAUGACUUCAUCGGCUUGCUUCUUUCUUUACGAAACUUUCUUAAUGCACUUUUCGGUUAACAAGUCAACAUCAAUUUCUUUUGUUGUAAAAGGGUAUGAGGAAGGUGGCUUUCUUUUCGGAGAAAGUGUUUAUAGCCUUGUGCCUCUGCAAUCGGAGAGAUUGAGGUCUGCAGCGUAGAUCCUUCGGGGUUAGAUACAUUUGUGCUAAGUUAUAGCCUUGUAUAGACAACUUGUUGACUAUACUCAGUCAUGUAGCUUACUCGCAGAUAGUAUCUUACCUACGCUUAGGAUGUUGAUGUGAUACUGCGAGCA